UACGAAGGGGGCUAGCGUUGUUCGGAUUUACUGGGCGUAAAGCGCACGUAGGCGGAUCGUUAAGUGAGGGGUGAAAUCCCAGGGCUCAACCCUGGAACUGCCUUUCAUACUGGCGAUCUUGAGUCCGGAAGAGGUGAGUGGAACUCCUAGUGUAGAGGUGGAAUUCGUAGAUAUUCGGAAGAACACCAGUGGCGAAGGCGACUCGCUGGACAGGUAUUGACGCUGAGGUGCGAAAGCGUGGGGAGCAAACAGG
rnacentral:rRNA from 1 species